rnacentral:rRNA from 1 species
GACGAACGCUGGCGGCGUGCCUAAUACAUGCAAGUCGAACGCUGAAGGAGGAGCUUGCUUCUCUGGAUGAGUUGCGAACGGGUGAGUAACGCGUAGGUAACCUGCCUGGUAGCGGGGGAUAACUGUUGGAAACGAUAGCUAAUACCGCAUAAGAGUAGAUGUUGCAUGACAUUUGCUUAAAAGGUGCAAUUGCAUCACUACCAGAUGGACCUGCGUUGUAUUAGCUAGUUGGUGGGGUAACGGCUCACCAAGGCGACGAUACAUAGCCGACCUGAGAGGGUGAUCGGCCACACUGGGACUUGGACACGGCCCAGACUCCUACGGGAGGCAGCAGUAGGGAAUCUUCGGCAAUGGACGGAAGUCUGACCGAGCAACGCCGCGUGAGGGAAGAAGGUUUUCGGAUCGUAAAGCUCUGUUGUAAGAGAAGAACGAGGGUGAGAGUGGAAAGUUCACACUGUGACGGUAUCUUACCAGAAAGGGACGGCUAACUACGUG